rnacentral:rRNA from 1 species
UAGGGAAUCUUCCGCAAUGGACGCAAGUCUGACGGAGCAACGCCGCGUGAGUGAAGAAGGAUUUCGGUUCGUAAAACUCUGUUGUUAGAGAAGAACAGCGCAUAGAGUAACUGUUAUGCGUGUGACGGUAUCUAACCAGAAAGCCACGGCUAACUACGUGCCAGCAGCCGCGGUAAUACGUAGGUGGCAAGCGUUGUCCGGAUUUAUUGGGCGUAAAGCGAGCGCAGGCGGUCAAUUAAGUCUGAUGUGAAAGCCCCGGCUCAACCGGGGAGGGUCAUUGGAAACUGGUUGACUUGAGUGCAGAAGAGGAGAGUGGAAUUCCAUGUGUAGCGGUGAAAUGCGUAGAUAUAUGGAGGAACACCAGUGGCGAAGGCGACUCUCUGGUCUGUAACUGACGCGGAGGCUCGAAAGCGUGGGUAGCAAACAGG